rnacentral:ncRNA from 2 species
UUGUAAGAACAGGGGGGUGCUUUAAAGCUGAGAAAUACCCUCAUUAACUGAUCCAGGCAAUACUGGCGUAGUGAGUUUCUUCUUUUUUAAG